CCUACGUGCGGCAGCAGUGAGGAAUAUUGGUCAAUGGUCGGGAGACUGAACCAGCCAAGCCGCGUGAGGGAUGAAGGUACAGAGUAUCGUAAACCUCUUUUGUCAGGGAACAAAGGCGGGGACGUGUCCCCGGAUGAGUGUACCUGAAGAAAAAGCAUCGGCUAACUCCGUGACAGCAGCCGCGGUAAUACGGAGGAUGCGAGCGUUAUCCGGAUUUAUUGGGUUAAAAGGGUGCGCAGGGGGUCGUUUAAGUCAGCGGUCAAAGCCCGGGGCUCAACCCCGGCCCGCCGUUGAAACUGGCAGUCUCGAGUUGGAGAGAAGUAUGCGGAAGGCGCGGUGUAGCGGUGAAAUGCAUAGAUAUCGCGCAGAACUCCGAUUGCGAAGGCAGCAUGCCGGCUCCACACUGACGCUGAGGCACGAAAGCGUGGGUAUCGAACAGGAUUAGAUACCCCUGUAGUC
rnacentral:rRNA from 1 species